rnacentral:rRNA from 1 species
AUUGAACGCUGGCGGUAGGCCUAACACAUGCAAGUCGAACGGCUGAAGAGUACUUGCUUCUUGUUACAGCGGCGGACUGGUGAGUAAUGCAUAGGUACCUCCCUAUCUGCUGUUUAGUACGGCCGGACGCAGGCGCUCAUACGCCAUAACUGCAGACGACCUACGGGUGGAAUCUGCGGACCUUCGGCUAUCAGAUGAGCCUAGGUCGGAUUAGCUAGUUGGUGGGGUAAAGGCCUACCAAGGCGACGAUCCGUAACUGGUCUGAGAGGAUGAUCAGUCACACUGGAACUGAGACACGGUCCAGACUCCUACGGGAGGCAGCAGUGGGGAAUAUUGGACAAUGGGCGCAAGCCUGAUCCAGCCAUGCCGCGUGUGUGAAGAAGGUCUUCGGAUUGUAAAGCACUUUAAGUUGGGAGGAAGGGCAGUAAGUUAAUACCCCGCUGUUUUGACGUUACCAAAAGAAUAAGCACCGGCUAACUUCGUG